rnacentral:rRNA from 1 species
AUUGAACGCUGGCGGAAUGCUUUACACAUGCAAGUCGAACGGCAGCACGGGGCAACCUGGUGGCGAGUGGCGAACGGGUGAGUAAUAUAUCGGAACGUGCCCAAUCGUGGGGGAUAACGUAGCGAAAGUUACGCUAAUACCGCAUACGAUCUACGGAUGAAAGCGGGGGAUCGCAAGGCCUCGCGCGAAUGGAGCGGCCGAUAUCAGAUUAGGUAGUUGGUGGGGUAAAGGCUCACCAAGCCAACGAUCUGUAGCUGGUCUGAGAGGACGACCAGCCACACUGGAACUGAGACACGGUCCAGACUCCUACGGGAGGCAGCAGUGGGGAAUUUUUGGACAAUGGGCGCAAGCCUGACGCAGCAACGCCGCGUGUGUGACGAAGGCCCUUGGGUUGUAAAGCACUGUGGGCAGGGAGAAAAAACGGGGGUUGUACCCCGUCUUGACGGUACCUGUUUAGAAGCACCGGCUAACUCCGUGCCAGCAGCCG